rnacentral:rRNA from 1 species
AUUGAACCCUUGCGGCAGGCCUAACACAUGCAAGUCGAGCGGUAGCACAGAGAGCUUGCUCUCGGGUGACGAGCGGCGGACGGGUGAGUAAUGUCUGGGAAACUGCCUGAUGGAGGGGGAUAACUACUGGAAACGGUAGCUAAUACCGCAUAACGUCGCAAGACCAAAGUGGGGGACCUUCGGGCCUCAUGCCAUCAGAUGUGCCCAGAUGGGAUUAGCUAGUAGGUGGGGUAAUGGCUCACCUAGGCGACGAUCCCUAGCUGGUCUGAGAGGAUGACCAGCCACACUGGAACUGAGACACGGUCCAGACUCCUACGGGAGGCAGCAGUGGGGAAUAUUGCACAAUGGGCGCAAGCCUGAUGCAGCCAUGCCGCGUGUGUGAAGAAGGCCUUCGGGUUGUAAAGCACUUUCAGCGGGGAGGAAGGCGGUGAGGUUAAUAACCUCAUCGAUUGACGUUACCCGCAGAAGAAGCACCGGCUAACUCCGUGCCAGCAGCCGCGGUAAUACGGAGGGUGCAAGCGUUAAUCGGAAUUACUGGGCGUAAAGCGCACGCAGGCGGUCUGUCAAGUCGGAUGUGAAAUCCCCGGGCUCAACCUGGGAACUGCAUUCGAAACUGGCAGGCUAGAGUCUUGUAGAGGGGGGUAGAAUUCCAGGUGUAGCGGUGAAAUGCGUAGAGAUCUGGAGGAAUACCGGUGGCGAAGGCGGCCCCCUGGACAAAGACUGACGCUCAGGUGCGAAAGCGUGGGGAGCAAACAGGAUUAGAUACCCUGGUAGUCCACGCCGUAAACGAUGUCGAUUUGGAGGUUGUGCCCUUGAGGCGUGGCUUCCGGAGCUAACGCGUUAAAUCGACCGCCUGGGGAGUACGGCCGCAAGGUUAAAACUCAAAUGAAUUGACGGGGGCCCGCACAAGCGGUGGAGCAUGUGGUUUAAUUCGAUGCAACGCGAAGAACCUUACCUGGUCUUGACAUCCACAGAACUUUCCAGAGAUGGAUUGGUGCCUUCGGGAACUGUGAGACAGGUGCUGCAUGGCUGUCGUCAGCUCGUGUUGUGAAAUGUUGGGUUAAGUCCCGCAACGAGCGCAACCCUUAUCCUUUGUUGCCAGCGGUCCGGCCGGGAACUCAAAGGAGACUGCCAGUGAUAAACUGGAGGAAGGUGGGGAUGACGUCAAGUCAUCAUGGCCCUUACGACCAGGGCUACACACGUGCUACAAUGGCAUAUACAAAGAGAAGCGACCUCGCGAGAGCAAGCGGACCUCAUAAAGUAUGUCGUAGUCCGGAUUGGAGUCUGCAACUCGACUCCAUGAAGUCGGAAUCGCUAGUAAUCGUAGAUCAGAAUGCUACGGUGAAUACGUUCCCGGGCAU